GGGGCCGUUGUAUCCUGCCACCACAAUCUCGAAGUUGCCGUCAGCAUCCAGGUCGGUGACAGCCACGCCAUAGUUGAGCUGUGUUGGGUUGCUGUCAUAGUCAGGCGGGAGCAGUCGGUGGGUGACGGCGGUGAACAUGGGCUCACUGCGCUGGGAGCCCUCACUGAGCCAGGCCAGAGACAGCAGGCACAGCACCAGCAUCCUGGGCACGGGCGCGGGGGGUUGCCCGGUGCCCCCGCGGCGGCGGUAGCGGGGGGAGCGCAUCCCGCAGCGCCCGCCUCGCCGCUUGCCGCCCGCCUCCCGGUUCCGCGCCGCCCGACUCCCGACGGC
rnacentral:lncRNA from 1 species